rnacentral:rRNA from 1 species
GUCCACGCCGUAACGAUGAGAACUAGCCGUUGGACCCCUUGAGGGUUUAGUGGCGUAGCUAACGCGAUAAGUUCUCCGCCUGGGGAGUACGGCCGCAAGGCUAAACUCAAAUGAAUUGACGGGGCCCGCACAAGCGGUGGAGCAUGUUGUUUAAUUCGAUGCAACGCGAAGAACCUUACCACCCCUUGACAUCCUCGGAACUUGGCAGAGAUGCCUUGGUGCCUUCGGGAACCGAGUGACAGGUGCUGCAUGGCUGUCGU